GCGGGUGUGGCGGAACUGGCAGACGCGCCAGACUUAGGAUCUGGUGGACUUCCGUGCAGGUUCAAGUCCUGUCACCCGCACCA
rnacentral:tRNA from 1 species